AGCACAGGCGCGGAACGGAAAGCCGCGUGCAAGCGAAGGAGGAGUCACAUAGGAAAAACCGUGUGGCAAUCCAAAGGCGUGAUGCGGACCGAACUAAAGUAGGGAAGUGUGUGAGCCAUGAAUCAAGAAAAGCCGCUAUUGUUUUUAAGAUACCCGUACCGUAAACCGACACAGGUGGAUGAGGAGAGAAUCCUAAGGCCGGCGGAAGAAGCAUUGUUAAGGAACUCGGCAAAAUGACCCCGUAACUUCGGGAGAAGGGGUGCCAACGAGAGUUGGCCGCAGAGAAUAGGCUCAAGCAACUGUUUAGCAAAAACACAGGUCUAUGCAAAACCGUAAGGUGAGGUAUAUGGGCUGACGCCUGCCCGGUGCUGGAAGGUUAAGAGGAGAGGUUAGCGCAAGCGAAGCUUUGAAUUUAAGCCCCAGUAAACGGCGGCCGUAACAAUAACGGUCCUAAGGUAGCGAAAUUCCUUGUCGGGUAAGUUCCGACCCGCACGAAAGGCGUAAUGAUUUGAGCGCUGUCUCGACAAUGCAUCCGGUGAAAUUGAAGUACCAGUGAAGAUGCUGGUUACCCGCGCCAGGACGGAAAGACCCCAUGGAGCUUUACUCCAGUUUGGUACUGGGGUCCGGCAGUGCAUGUACAGGAUAGGUGGGAGGCUGAGAACCUGGAACGCCAGUUUCAGGGGAGCCAUUGUUGGGAUACCACCCUUGUGCUGCUGGGCUUCUAACCAGCGGCCUUUAUCAGGCCGGGGGACAAUGCCAGACGGGGAGUUUGACUGGGGCGGUCGCCUCCGAAAGGGUAUCGGAGGCGCUCAAAGGUUCCCUCAGAAUGGUCGGAAACCAUUCGAAGAGUGCAAAGGCAGAAGGGAGCUUGACUGCGACACCGACGGGUGGAGCAGGUACGAAAGUAGGACUUAGUGAUCCGGUGGUAUUAAGUGGGAAUGCCAUCGCUCAACGGAUAAAAGCUACCCUGGGAUAACAGGCUUAUCACUCCCAAGAGUUCACAUCGACGGAGUGGUUUGGCACCUCGAUGUCGGCUCAUCGCAUCCUGGGGCUGUAGUAGGUCCCAAGGGUUGGGCUGUUCGCCCAUUAAAGCGGUACGCGAGCUGGGUUCAGAACGUCGUGAGACAGUUCGGUCCCUAUCCGGCGUGGGCGUAGGAUAUUUGAGAGGAGCUGUCCUUAGUGCGAGAGGACCGGGAUGGACUGACCUCUGGUGUACCGGUUGAACCGCCGGGUUCACGGCCGGGUAGCCAAGUCGGGAAGGGAUAAACGCUGAAGGCAUCUAAGCGUGAAGCCCCCCUCAAGAUGAGAUAUCCCAUUCGAAAGAAGUAAGACCCCUUGAAGACGACGAGGUAGAUAGGGCAGAGGUGGAAGUGCCGUAAGGCAUGGAGCUGACUGUUACUAAUCGGUCGAGGGCUU
rnacentral:rRNA from 1 species